rnacentral:rRNA from 1 species
AUGAGGCCAUCAGAAUUGACUGCCAUGGUGGUGGUGUUGCUCCUGGCCACGGCGGUUGCAACAGCUAACCAGGCGAUGGUGCUGGAGCGGGCGGUGCCGCUCAAGGGGGUCCCCCUAGGGGAUCUCAGGGAGCUGGACAGGGCGAGGCAGGCGAGGAUGGGUGUGGUAAAUGUCCCUGUGCAGGGCAACGCCAACCCAUUCGCUGAUGGCAUUUAUUAUACUAGCCUGAAAUUAGGGAACCCCCCAAAAGAAUACACUUUCCAAAUUGAUACUGGAAGUGACAUCUCGUGGGUUGUUUGCAAAGGCUGCAGGGGUUGCCCAACAAGAAGCCCGCUCAAGAUCCCAAUAGAGUUAUACAAUCUCAACUCUUCAUCGACAUCAUCCAGAAUAUCAUGCUCGGAUAAUAGCUGUACAACUGCCGACGAAUCAGGAUCAAAAGUCUGCUAUACCUCGGACUCCACAAGCAGCCUAUGUGGUUAUAAUCUUACUUAUGGUGAUGGAACUGGAGUAUCGGGUUACUACGUGUCUGACACUAUGCAUCUCGACACUAUCAUGGGAAAUCAACAUUUUGCCAAUGCUUCUGCAUCUGUUGUUUUUGGAUGUACCGAAUCACUGUCAGGAUUCAUAUCUACAGAUGGGAUUCUGGCAUUUGGACAGCAGCAACUUUCUAUCAUUUCACAACUGAACUCUUUGGGAGUAUCCCCUAAAAAGUUCUCACAUUGCCUGAAAGGUUCCGAAGAAGGUGGUGGCAUUUUUCUUCUUGGUGAAAUCGUGGAGCCAAGAUUAGUAUUUACUCCACUUGCAGGGCCUCAUUACAACUUGAAUCUGGAGGGCAUUGCUGUCAAUGGCCAAAACCUGCCCAUUGAUUCUUCCUUGUUUAUAGUUGCAGGGGUUUCUCUAUCGGUACGCCCUCUUGAUACCGAGCGGGUUGAGAAGAGGGACAAGUGUUUCCUUUCUUCUAGCAGCAUUGACUUGUUAUUUCCAACCGUCACACUAUAUUUUAAGGGAGGUGCUGCAAUGACAAUGAAGCCACGAAACUAUCUUUUGCUGCAGGGUUAUGUGGGCAAUGAUACUGUGUGGUGCAUUGGCUGGCAAAGUACCAAGGAAAUCCAGAAUGGCCAUGCAAUCACUGUACUCGGAGACCUUGCUUUGCAUGAUAAAAUAUUUGUGUAUGACUUAGAGAAGAUGCGCUUGGGCUGGACGGACUACAAUUCAUUGAGCUCCGUCCUUUUGCCCAUUUCAUGGUCAGUUAACCUUUCAGCACUGCUAAAUUCAUCCAAAUACUGCAUCAGGAACUGUGCCGAUCUGCUUACAGACUCCUUACCCGUACUGUACUGCGCACACAAUCCUCCCCGAGGUACCAACAGGGCCAGAUCAGGAGAAGUAUCUUGGCCCGCAUGCACUCGUUUUCAGUGCUCAACAGUAUUUGCAGCCAGUCUUCCCAUGUAUACCAGAACCUUUCCUCUGCCGGCAGACCCCAUUCUCUUCUCAAAGCAUCUCUCGGUGCCCUACUCUUUGUACAUGUAA